rnacentral:rRNA from 1 species
GACGAAGGUGGCGAGCGUUGUUCGGAAUCACUGGGCAUAAAGCGCACGUAGGCGGUUUGUCGCGUCGGGAGUGAAAUCCACUGGCUUAACUGGUGGCUUGCUUUCGAUACGGGCAGACUGGAGGUAUGCAGGGGAGAACGGAAUUCCUGGUGUAGCAGUGAAAUGCGCAGAUAUCAGGAGGAACACCGGUGGCGAAGGCGGUUCUCUGGGCAUGUCCUGACGCUGAGGAGCGAAAGUGUGGGGAGCGAACAGG